rnacentral:lncRNA from 1 species
AUGCACACUUCUAAUCCCAAGACCAGGGAGACAGAGGCAGAUGGAUCUCUGUUAAUUCAAGGCCACACUGAGCUACACGAAAUUGAUCCAGUCCUAAAGAGAAACAGCUCAUACAAAGGUGAUCUCAGCACUUUUGACCACAUGCCUUUAAUUCCAGCAUUAGGGAAGUGGACACAGAGUGUUAUGUUUGGACGGAGAAAGGAAUAUAAGGUGGGAGGAGACAAGGAGUGGGAGCAUUUUGCCUCUGGGGAUUCAUGGAGACAAGAUCAGCUAAUUUGGUCUGAGUUGUGCAGAAGCGUGACGCAUCUCUAAGUGACUGGUGGACUCCGUUAUUAAUUACUGCGAGUCUCAGAGGAAGAGAACGCAGAGGAUGACCGGCAGCGGCCUGCAGGCAGAGG